UUCGAAGGUAAAUAGUAUCCGGGAAACGUACCUUAUCGUGGGGGAUAACGCAGCGAAAGCUGCGCUAAUACCGCAUACGCCCUGAGGGGGAAAGCGGGGGACCGUAAGGCCUCGCGCGAUUAGGAGCGGCCGAUAUCUGAUUAGCUUGUUGGUGGGGUAAAAGCCCACCAAGGCGACGAUCAGUAGCUGGUCUGAGAGGACGAUCAGCCACACUGGGACUGAGACACGGCCCCAGACUCCUACGGGAGGCAGCAGUGGGGAAUUUUGGACAAUGGGCGAAAGCCUGAUCCAGCCAUGCCGCGUGAGUGAAGAAGGCCUUCGGGUUGUAAAGCUCUUUCAGACGGAAAGAAAUCUCUUGGGUGAAUAUCCCGGGAGGAUGACGGUACCGUAAGAAGAAGCACCGGCUAACUACGUG
rnacentral:rRNA from 1 species